GACGAACGCUGGCGGCGUGCUUAACACAUGCAAGUCGAACGGAAAGGCCCUGCUUUUGUGGGUUGCUCGAGUGGCGAACGGGUGAGUAACACGUGAGUAACCUGCCCUUGACUUUGGGAUAACUUCAGGAAACUGGGGCUAAUACCGGAUAGGAGCUCCUGCUGCAUGGUGGGGGUUGGAAAGUUUCGGCGGUUGGGGAUGGACUCGCGGCUUAUCAGCUUGUUUGUGGGGUAGUGGCUUACCAAGGCUUUGACGGGUAGCCGGCCUGAGAGGGUGACCGGCCACAUUGGGACUGAGAUACGGCCGAGGCUCCUACGGGAGGCAGCAGUGGGGAAUAUUGCAGAAUGGGCGGAAGCCUGAUGCAGCAACGCCGCGUGCGGGAUGACGGCCUUCGGGUUGUAAACCGAUUUCGCAUGUGACGAAGCGUGAGUGACGGUAAUGGGUAAAGAAGCACCGGCUAACUACGUG
rnacentral:rRNA from 1 species